GAAGAGAGUGUGGAGGAGGCGAAGUGGAUGCAGCUGAAUUAGAGAGGGGGAAAAAAGUGCAAGCCCGGGUGGAUGUACUAUAACGGAUGGACGGAAGGACAGAUGGACGGACGGACGGAGCAACCCAUGGAUGUAUGCUGAACGUCGAGAGACCGGGGGACGAGCGAGCGAGCAUCUGCAUCCCCUUGUGUGUGUGAGAGAGAGCGCGCCGCAGUGAGGCAGGGAAAUAGCGCACGGUCCUCAGCCUCAGCCAGCGGAGUUGACGGGGGGAGCCUUGUCCACAGCACAUUGGUAUUCAGCGGACGGAAGCGCCACGAUCUCACUGCGCCUUUCCCCAGGAUGGAAUCACAGAGCGGGGAUUGUGCGUGGCACUGGAGAGCCCCCCUCUGAUGGAUGUGAAGGUGCAAACGGAGUGCAGUGGCAGCACGCACCCCUGGGCGACUGCUCGCUAAACUGGUACCAGCACAGUCAGGAAGGCCCU